UGGGGAAUAUUGGACAAUGGGCGAAAGCCUGAUCCAGCAAUGCCGCGUGUGUGAAGAAGGUCUUCGGAUUGUAAAGCACUUUCGGCGGGGACGAUGAUGACGGUACCCGCAGAAGAAGCCCCGGCUAACUUCGUGCCAGCAGCCGCGGUAAUACGAAGGGGGCUAGCGUUGCUCGGAAUGACUGGGCGUAAAGGGCGCGUAGGCGGUCACGAUAGUCAGAUGUGAAAUUCCUGGGCUUAACCUGGGGGCUGCAUUUGAUACUGUGUGGCUUGAGUAUGGAAGAGGGUCGUGGAAUUCCCAGUGUAGAGGUGAAAUUCGUAGAUAUUGGGAAGAACACCGGUGGCGAAGGCGGCGACCUGGUCCAUAACUGACGCUGAGGCGCGAAAGCGUGGGGAGCAAACA
rnacentral:rRNA from 1 species